GUUUCGCCCUGUUUACCAAAAACAUCGCUCCUUGAAAAGAUUUCUAAUAUAUAAGGAGUUCUGCCUGCCCAGUGACAAAGUUAAACGGCCGCGGUAUUUUGACCGUGCAAAGGUAGCAUAAUCAUUUGCCUUUUAAAUGGAGGCUGGUAUGAAUGGCAAGACGGAAAUUUAGCUGUCUCUCUCUUAGAGUUUUGAAAUUAAUAUUUUUGUGAAGAAGCAGAAAUAAGAUCGUAGGACGAGAAGACCCUAUCGAGCUUAAGUAAUAAAGUGUAGAUUUGUGAUGUGUUUACAGUAUUAAUUAUUUUUCUUUAGAGGAAAAAAGAUUUAUUAAGAAGGCAUAGAAUUAUUAUAUUUUUUAUUUAGAUUGGGGCAAUCGCGGAGAAGAAAUAACUUCCGUUUUGAAUAAAUUGAAAAGUGACGUCUUUAAAACAAAGUAAGUUGCAAUGAAAUGAUCCACUUAGAAAAGUGAAUAAAGGAAUAAGUUACCGUAGGGAUAACAGCGUAAUUUUUUUGGAGAGUUCAUAUUGAUAAAAAAGUUUGCGACCUCGAUGUUGGAUCGGGACAUCCAGGAGAUGCAGCAGUUUCCAAGGGUUGGUCUGUUCGACCAUUAAAGUCCUACGUGAUCUGAGUUCAGACCGGUGAAAGCCAGGUCAGUUCCUAUCUACG
rnacentral:rRNA from 1 species